UGUCCUAAGCGCAUGGAGGCUUGUCGCGGGUAUGCUGGUGCGUGAGGCGUUGCUUAGGCGCUGUGGUUGGCCGCGCGUUCUCGGUGCGUGCCAGAGUCUUGACUCUUGGUGCGUUGCUGGGGGCGUGUUGUGUCGACUCUAGCUUGACCGCUUCUUACUCGGUGUAAAUGUCGAUCACCUAUCCGACCCGUCUUGAAACACGGACCAAGAAGUCUAGCAUGUGCGCGAGUCAUUGAGUGUUAAACUCAUAGGCGUAAUGAAAGUAAAGGUCGAUUCGUUCGGCUGAUAUGGGAUCCGGGUGGCUUCGGCCGCUCGGCGCACCAUAGUCCCGUCUCUGAAGCUUGCUUCGGGGCGGAGACAGAGCGUACACGCUAGGACCCGAAAGAUGGUGAACUAUGCCUGAGCAGGGUGAAGUCAGAGGAAACUCUGAUGGAGGCCCGAAGCGGUUCUGACGUGCAAAUCGAUCGUCUGACUUGGGUAUAGGGGCGAAAGACUAAUCGAACCAUCUAGUAGCUGGUUCCCUCCGAAGUUUCCCCCAGGAUAGCUGGAGCUCGUAGAGCAGUUAUAUCCGGUAAAGAUAUUGAUUAGAGGACUUGGGAGCGAAACGCUCUCAACCUAUUCUCAAACUUAAAAUGGGUAUGAAGUCCCGGUUGCUUAAUUGAACCGCGGACAGUGAAUGUGAGCUCCAAGUGGGCCAUUUUUGGUAAGCAGAACUGGCGCUGUGGGAUGAACCAAACGUCGGGUUAAGGUGCCUAACUUCCCGCUCAUCAGACCCCAUGAAAGGUGUUGGUUGAUAUAGACAGCAGGACGGUGGCCAUGGAAGUCGGAAUCCGCUAAGGAGUGUGUAACAACUCACCUGCCGAAUCAACUAGCCCUGAAAAUGGAUGGCGCUUGAGCGGGAGACCUAUACCCGACCGUUGCUGGCUUGUGCGUACAAACGCCGCCUGGCCGCAACGAGUAGGAGGGUCG
rnacentral:rRNA from 1 species